GGGGAGCAGUGUGACACCUGCAGUCCUGGCUACUGGGGCCCAGGCUGAGGUGGGAGGAUCACUUGGGCCUAGGAAUUAGAGGCUGUAGUGAACUUUGCCUGUCAGGUAUCGACACUAAGUUUGCCAUUACAGUGAUCUCUCCAGAUUAGGGGACCACAAGGUUACCUAAAGAGGGGUGAACUGCCCAGUUUGGAAGUGAAGCAGAUCAAAACUCCCAUGCUGAUCAGUAGUAGGGUGGGCACCUGUGAAUAGCCACUGCAUCCCAGCCUGGACAACAUAGUGAGUCCCCAUCCCU
rnacentral:SRP_RNA from 1 species